GGAUAAAUGACUGAGAGGUUGAAAGUACUAAUUUUGAAAAUUAGAAUAAGUUAUCUUAUCGUAGGUUCAAAUCCUACUUUAUCCA
rnacentral:tRNA from 1 species